rnacentral:lncRNA from 1 species
UUUUGUUGUAUUUAGCUUUUUUUUAAUUUAGGGAAAGGGGUCGAGCACUUCAAAUAAUUUGAAAUAAAAGAAUUGACUCACCGGACUCACACUUUGCUGCGGAUCUAAAAUUGGUGCAUGUUAAUUAUAAUCACAACACUGGGUCUAUUUUUUCCCAAGUGAAUCAUCAAUUAUAAACUCUUAGCAUCAGUACUUGCAUUGAAAUGUGAAUAUUGUUUUUAAAAUUUGAUGUGUUGCAUUGAUAAUAC